UAAAGCAUAGCAUUAAUGCAUCGGAUCCCAUUAGAACUUCGCAGUUAAGCAUACUCAGGCUAGAGUAGUACUAGGAUGGGUGACCUCCCAGGAAGUCCCAGUGUUUUAC
rnacentral:rRNA from 1 species